UAACCUGCCCAAGAGAUCGGGAUAACACCUGGAAACAGAUGCUAAUACCGGAUAACAACAGAUGAUGCCUAUCAACUGUUUAAAAGAUGGUUCUGCUAUCACUCUUGGAUGGACCUGCGGUGCAUUAGCUAGUUGUAGGGUAACGGCCUACCAAGGCGAUGAUGCAUAGCCGAGUUGAGAGACUGAUCGGCCACAUUGGGACUGAGACACGGCCCAAACUCCUACGGGAGGCAGCAGUC
rnacentral:rRNA from 1 species